GUGGAGGGGGCUACCAAGCCCCAUGGCCAGGGAAGAGCGAGCGGUCGGUGGGUCGGUAGCCGCCGCUGUUGUCGCUGCUGCUGUUGCCGCUGCCUCACCGCCCGCCUGCGCUGCCCGCGAAGCCUCUCCGAGCACCCCGGCCCUCCCCUUCCCUCCCCGGCGGGGCUUCCUGCCCGCUCAUAUAGCUCGCCCCCAGCCACGUGGACGGCGCCGGGGGCCCCGCCGGCCCCUCCUCGCAGCCGGGCAGGGCGGUGACGGGGCGGACAAGCCCUCCUUUCCCCUCCCUCCCCUCCGCCCUACACCCCGGGCGGCGGAGCGGAGCGGAGAGGUGCGCACCGCGGAGGAGCGCGGGGGAGGGAUGAGAAGAGGGCUGACGGCCGCCAACACAAACUUCUUCCUGCGCGGCGCCGGGGUGAAACCCUCGCUCCCAACGAGACCUCUCCAGAGGGUCACCGCACCCAGAAAUACCUCUGCUCUCACCCCCACGCCCCCCGAAACUCUCGCCGCUGAAACUGAGCUAUGUGGAUCUCAGAGGUGAUCCCAGCAGGGAAAGAGGAAAGAAAUUCACUGCUUCUCGGAGGAGAAAACAAGCUGCUUGCCACUUUGCUGGAGGUGGGAUGGGGCCCUUGAGGAGCUCCGAUCUGAUCACCCGUGACAGUUUCUGUAACCCUCUCGGCUUGAUACUCUCACACCUUCAGGCAGAUUAGUUGAAUUUGAUGCUUCAUUUCCUUCCUGAUGAUUGCAAGUGAUUGCGUGUGUUUAUGAAAAAAUCACCAGGGAACAGCUCACCAAUAAAAAGGCUGUACAUCAGGAUGUAUCGAGGAAAACACCCUCCCAUCAGGAAUGUCCUGAUUAAUGAUAGCUUAGCAGGCCAACGCUGGAAGAGGUUGCCCAGAGAAGGUGCCGGUGUUCCAUACCUGGAAGUGUUCAAGGACAGAUGAGACUUGGAAUAACUUGGUCUGACGAUUCUGUUUCAUUGCCUGUGACAGGAGGAUUGGUGUGAGGUGGUCUUUAAGGUCCCUUUCAGCCCAAACCAUUCUAUGAAUCUAUGAUUCUACAACUGAAGAAAGGGAACAGAGGAUAAUAUGGAAUUUUCCCUGCAUUUUCAGUCCUAUCUGCAACAUUUGUCUGGAGUUCUGGAGGGGUAAGAUAUGAUACACCCCUCCAGCCAUAGCAGCCUUGGCUACAAGUUGCAAGAAGGAGAUAAGGAAAAGAGCUCUGCAGAGUCUGGUUUUGGUCAGAGAAGCUCCUUUCUGUAGAGCAAGGCAGAAGAGGAGAGUGGGCUUGCCCCAGGGAUGUCUCUGAGAGGCAUGACACAGCAAUAUGGGUAAAAUAUGGAGAAGUUCUUCAGGUCUCUGCUGGUGGCUGGCUAAGCCAAAAGCAGAAACCAAAUCCUCCUGAAACAGCAAGUAUGGAACCUAUUUCUCCUUGUUAUACCAGUGUUACACUCUGUUAACUCCUUCAGAUGCUCUCAACUCCACCGAUGCACCCCAAUGAGCAUGCAAAUGACAAGUGCUCUGUGGUAAUGCCAUAGUGAUUACAGCAGUGUCCAACCUGGAGGAUUGCAUCCUCUCCCCUUUAUACCGUAGCAUUUCCCUAGCAAGUGUCAUUUAGAUGGUUUUGGGAAUGAAUCCAGGAUUUGUUUCAUAGACAGUAUUUCCUCAACAGUUCAGUGAAUAUGAAGUAGUUUGAACUAACCAUGCAAAUCUCUCUUGUCUUCUUAUGUAGAGAAAUGAUAUCUAUUCUAAACUCUGGGCCAGGGCUUUCAGCUGCUGAUGGGGAAUAGCUAUGCAGACAUCAAAGGAGCUGUAUCAGCUUUCACCAAGUGGGGAUCCAGCCCUUUAUUCAUAUUUUAAAAUCCAGAAACUGUGUCUAAGUUAAGCAUUUUUCUCCAUAUUUUUAAGUAACCAGUAUUUUAUUUUAUGGCUGCACCCUCAGUGGUAGGAUUGUUUCUUGUACUCUUAUGUUUAAAGGCCCUUCAAGGCUGAAGGAAUUAAAAUGAAUAAUUUAAAGCUGGUCUAUGAUGCAGAAUUUUUAACAUAUGUUUUACAGGCCAUGCAGAACACUUUUUUUUGUCUUGUCAGUAGAUAUUUUACAAACAUGCUGUACUGGAACCAAAGCCCUUUUUAUUUAAUACUCAGAUCUGAGUCCUCCUAUGCAUAGACACAGCAGCGUGCUGGAGUCUACAAGCCAUAACAAGGAAAGCAUUAUCACUGACACUGAUCAGAAAAGGGGAGAAAUAAGUGAUUUCACCACUUUUCCCUCUGCCACACAUUGAUAAACCAGAAAUGGGCAGAACUGCGGCUCUCCCACCUCAGAAAGCUUCAUCCCAAGACAGAGAGAGAGAUGCUGUAAUUUGUUUAACCUAAAGCUGCAAAAGGGCUGAACCCCAGUAAUGCUGGAGAAGGAGAUGUGAAGCCUGUUGGCUUUUGGCUAAUUCUGGAAGGUUGGCUGGAGUAUUUUCUUUUCCAAUCUCCUGUUAACUUCCUAAACAGUGUAAUUGGUCGCUCUUGCCAGUUUUGAUGAGUAAUGAUAACUGCUAGUCAAUAACCAAUGAGUCACCUUUUAUGGAUUUCAUGUCCUGUCCCAUCCUAACUCCUUGCAACAGCAUAGGGAGGAGGCACCUACUCUGCAGAGGCUCAAAAUCAGAGCGGGUUUCAGUCUUAUGGACUGGUUUCCACACUUUCCCUUGUUUUCCCAUAUUGUCCAGCAUUUCAUUUCUAUUUUAUAAUUACUUCAGAUUUACAAUUAAAAAUAAGUAAUUUUUAUCGUUUAAAAAGCUCUUUGGGCCAAAUCCAAUUUCAAGUAUUUCAGCAAGAUGCAAGUUUAGGCACUGCAAUGGCAGAAUGUAGAUUUGGGCUUGUGUUUGUUCUCCCCUCAUUUGCUCUCCCUUCAGUAGGUAAUCUGUCAUCUUUCAAACAAGCUAAUUGCCAUUGUGUCUAGGCCAAGAAGAAGUAGUUAAAAUAGAAAAAUCAGCAUUUGGUGUGUACUUGGUUGCCAAGAAGCUAUUUCUCCUCUCCUAUGUAAAUAAAUUGUCGUUCAGAAACGGUUGGCUUGCUCUAAAAGAUGUGCUAAGUGCUUCUCUUGCACUGUGCUUCCAUUGCAGAGAGAGAGUUGAGGAUUCAGGAAUGUGGCCAGUUAAUGCCCCAUCCCCAGCUUCCCCCAUCAGAUCUGUCAAAGGGGACCAUGCUUUACACAGGCUGAAGUGUGAGUGGAUAAUCACCGUCUCAAUUAACAUGUUGUGCCGUGUGUUACUGACCUUGCCAAUUAUGUCACUAGUCCAGGACCAAGCUCCAUGCAGGUGGAUCUCUUUACAAGGCAAAGUGGUUUGCUUGCAAAUCUAUAUGUAUUUAUGUUACUAAUCAUUCAUGUUUGUUAUGUAUUGUACAGAUGACACCUGUUGAUUGGCAUGACUAUCUGUGAAAGAGAUUAAAUACUUUCAAUGCAACUUUAUAAACAUGAAACUGAGAAUAUUGACUACAAAUAGACCCUAUGUAAUUUGUUUAUUCUGAUUGGUAAGAGAGACAAAUGGUCUACAUAGGUCUCAUCUCCACUGAAGAGAUAAAAGUUGUGCUGUAUUUGAAUGUGUAAAAUGUGUGAACGUGUGUUUGAAUGUGUAAAACUGCCCUUACAUAACUUGCUACAGGAGCACAUGGCACACAGUGAGCACUUUAUAAUGCUGAUAGCAAUUGACUUUGCCAUAACUGAUAGACAGUUUUGUCUAAUCUGCUUUGGACUUCUUGGGUUUUUUUGUUUUUGCAAUCAAUACUCUGCACUUUUGACAGAUGCUGUACAACUGUCAUAGUCUUCCCUGAUGCAAAGUCUACUAAAGGCACUGUUAAGGGCUCAGAAGUUUAAAACAGGCUUUUAGAUUACAUCCUCAGCCUCCAUAUUUCACAGAAUCAGGCUCUGGCAUUGAGGUGUGAUAAAAGCAAAGAGAAAAAAACAAAAAAAGCAUCUGACUUCCUUCUCUGCUUGCUCUUGAAGUUCAUAUGGCAGAGACUGAUAUGUUAUGCUUUUUAAGUGUUUCAUACACGUGUGGCAUGUUCGCUCUCCCCAGCAUAAAUGACCAUUCUUGGCAGUUCAGGCAUCACCUGUGGAAAGUCUCAACUGUAAAAUUCACCUGAUUUACCUUCAUGCAUCUUGAUCCCAUAGUGCCUUGAGUACAAUUUAUUCCCAGCUGCUUCAGCUGAAAACCCGCAGCUUUUUCCAUGCCAAGACUUGAAAAUGUGUGUAUUAGCUGAUGAUGAAGUUAUUUGCAGUAUUUCAUUUUAUUUCAUUUCAUCUUCUCCCCAGGAUAGUCAGGAAUAAAGCAAAAGGGGAAAUUAGACUUAGACUCAGAAAAUAAACAUUGUUGAUUAGGUUGAAGUAUCUAUUAGGCUUGUGUUUGAGUUUCUAGCUCACAAGAAGGAUGGCAAGCAAUGCCUGUUAAAGAAACAUUUUGACAAGAAUGUGUUUUUCUGUGGCUCAAACAAAAUAAAUAUAGUAAUGCAGAGAAACCUUUUCAAAGUCAGGCUUAUGUGCUUGUCUGAUCAGCUCUAGCUAUCCGUUUCAUCUCUCCUGAAUGUCACAGCAACAUGCCAGCUGUGCCACCGUGCAGUAUUCGAGAUAAAUGGUUUUCCUCAAAGGACAUUGCACACAUACCAAGGGCUGUACAUGCUGCAUUAAGUUAAACACAAACAAAACAAACCACUCAUUGCACGUGGACGUCAUCUCGUGGGAAAAUUAUGACCGAAACAGUGAACCACACCUGGUAGAUAUUAGUCAUAUAGCUUAAUUUAGUGUGGAAAGGCAUUUAGGUUUAAUGGUAAAAAAGCAAUAUAAUAAACUAGAUAAGGUGUCAAAGUUGGGGUUUUUUCCUAGAUAUUUAAGUUAAAAAAAAAUUUUAUUGUCCCUUCCAGCUGGUGGGAUGGGCUAGGAAGAUAUAGUGUGGGCAGUAUCACUCCAGGGAGACAGUGAGUGUUUGUGCUGCAGUAGAGAUGAAGAUCUGCUGUUAACCCACAGCCUGUAGGUCAGUGUAGGACAGAGUAUCUGAGGUAUUACCAAAGAGGAAAAAAAAGUAGGUUUAGAAAUAAAUCUCCCAGCUGUAGACUGGAAAACACUCAGGUUGUGUUAUUUCUGUGUGCAAAAGAAUUCUUCGCUACAGCCCUAAGUCAGCUGUAAUGCUGUUUUAGAUCUGGUAUUAACAUAUCAGGAAUUAGAGAAGAGCUUGUCAUCAAAGAUCACGAUCCUGUCUUUUUCCACUUAAGUAGCGUGGUAAGAUAAACAAAGCCAAGACUGCAAAUGCAGUUCCCUCAUUGCAAAAAAGCAAAUUUGAGUAAAUUAAGUUCUUUCAAUGAUUAGAGAUGAGAACUGGACAAAACAUUUUAAAGGCUUAAAAACUGUCUUUCUGUAAACCAGACUGGUCACACAUUCAGAACAUAGCUUAUAUCUAAGCAAAUGAAAGAAAAAAAUGAUUCAGAGAACCAUAGAACAAUUAAUAUAAGCUUAAUACAGUGUGAUUUCUUAGAGUAAAUUCAGAAGUAAAAAUGAAAUUAAGAUCUGGGCAUAAAUACAAAAUGGGAUAAAAGGCAAACCUGUGUUUACCAGAGAGAGAUCCAACAAGAAUAAUUUGUAAAUGUACUGGAAACAAGAAGUGAUUCUCAGGAAAGGAUUAGCAUAGUAGAUUGUCUUUACCUCAUCUUUGAUGAAGCAGAUGAAAUGGUGCUACCCAGAAAAUUAUCUUUCUUGAAAGCUAAGAGUGGUACAGGACUGGUGAACCAAAGUCCAUGUGUGCUGAGGAUAAACCAUUAAAACUUACAAUCUUUGGUGCUUUAUGUAAUACUGGAUUCAAAAUAGCUUCUUCAGAAGAUCUGGGAGAUCUUUGUGCUUCUCCCAGUCUCCUACCAUCUCAUUGGACCUACUGGUUUUGCCUGGUGUUGAGGUGCUUCCUUAACAUGUAGAAAGCAGUCAUCAAAUUUGAGGGAGUUGUCAAGGUGCACUUUAGAUCAAGGUAACUGAGGUAGCCUUUACCCUUACAAAUGAAUCAAACCAUUUGCCUUGAGAUAAGAGCUUUUUACUUGCUUCCAAUUAGGAAGAGGAAAGAUUGUGGUGUACAGGAUGACUCUAAACUGCCAGCGGGAUGAAGCCAUGAAAUGGGCAAAUGAGAUUUGCUCAGCCUUGCAAAAUAAAAGCUGAGGGGGAAUCCCAUUGCUGCCAAUUGAUUGGGAAGUAAAUGUCAGGGAAGGGAGGAAUGUGUAGCAGAUAAAGGAGGAAUGAGUAUCAGCUGCAGGUGGAUGUAUUCAGGAUGUAAAUUAAAAUAAUAUUACUUAAUUAUCAUACAAAAAGGCAGAGAUGCAAGGAAGCCUUCAGUGCAGAGUCAUAGAAUGGUAGGGGUUGGAUGGGCCUUUUAGAGAUCAUCUAGUCCAACCCUCUGGCAGAAGCAGGUCCACCUAGAGAAGAGAGAACAAAUUCUCCAAAGUUGUGGAGAUAUAUUGAUGUAUUGAUAUAUUCCUGGGGAACAUUUUAAAUAGUUUCCUGCAUGGAAAAAAAACACCUAAAUUAAUGAAUUAGACCUUAUAUAAAGAAGUGUAGCUUGGUGCUGUAUAUGCUUGAAGAUAUCUAUCACCAGUGAGUGGCACCAGUUAUAUUGUGCUAAAAGAAGUAAGAAACAAAGACACUAAGCAAACUGGCAGAGAUUCUGCUGGCCCUAGCGAAGGCCAUCAUCCAGGACCCAUUCCUAACCUGUCUGAUGGGCAAAGUGAUGCCUGGUUCACUCCUACAGAAACACUGAGCCCAUGACCAGCCCAAAAAAAGGCUGAAAAUAGGGAACUGCUUGUCAUGAGAAGUGCUGUUGAGAUCUGGUAUUAUUAAUAUGUUCACAUAGUCACAUACUAUGCAAUGUUAAAAGUUUCCCACAGGUAAAUUGUUCCAAAAUGCAGUUUCUAAAGAUUUGCUUUUGGGCAGAGGAAGGAUUUUUCAUUAAAAAAAUGUGCUGGUACAGCACAGUAGUGUUUCCAUAGUGUAACAUUAGCUGCUGUUCCAUUUCCAUUGUUACUGCUAGUUUGUAUCAUCAAAUGUGCUUUUUAUCUUUUUCCUUACUUACAUGGUACUUUGAGCAGUUUGAGAAGUCAAAAUAAAUUUUGAUCAAGAUACAGGGGGAAAGAAAAACCUGCUGUGAUAGAGGCUGGCAUUCCAGUUUCAUCACUGUUAAUUAAACAGGAUGUGUUUCAAAGUAAGCCUCAUGAGUACAUACAAGGUUGCAAUGCCUUUGCAAUUGUCUCAGUGUUUUACUAUUUCUUUCAGAGAACGUUUUUCCGAGUUGAGAACUCUCCCUCACAGUGUCUGAGCGUUGAAAUUUUAUCUGUUGGUAACUUCAGACACGAGGGCUCCAUCCCUUGUACAUCCCUCCUCCAUGAUGUAAGUCAGCUUUUUGGUGCCUUUCAUAGAUCUGUGAUGAUUUGUAUCUCCCACAGAUCCACCCUCACCUUUUAUUUUGUAGGACACUCAUUAGGUCUUAGUUUUCUUUUACCAUUCACAUGUCUCCAAGUAUUAAUCCUAUGUAAAGUAUACCUUAUGGGAACAUAGGUCAUAGAGUAGGAGCUGAAAAUACACAGUUGUCUAAGAAAUAAACCACUGAGCUGUUACAUUCCCUUUUUUCCCCUACAGUAUCUUCAUAGAUCUUCUCAGUGAUAUACUAUCCUGCCUCUCUCCAGAAAUACACCCAUUCUAACACAAAAAAAAAGCCAUUUCUCUUGAUGUUUGUUCCACUUCCCUUCUCCAUACUGUGUUAAAGCCUAUGUAUCAUCAUCAUUGGAUGAUAUCAGUAUGGUUUACAGUCAUUCCUAGCAGUCCCUAUCAAGGGUUAAGGACUUAUUUAGUACAGACACACAUUUCCUACAGCAACUGGCUCAUACUGCAGUGACUCCUCCCCGAGGAGCAGUUGAAUUAGGAGCUGAGAUACCAUCCUUAUGGGAUGCUACUAUGUCUCUGAGCACUGAGAAGAGAGAUGCAGCUUCCUGCAGAUCUAUUUAUUGUUUUACACCAAGGAAUAUGAGCAAAGUAGGAAACACUGUGUACAAAGACACAAGGACAGAGCUCAGUGCAUAUGUCACUUCCCAGCUGCCCCUGUGAUGCAUUAACUCUGCUCUACAAAGGGGUCAGGAGAGCUGGUUGGCAGUAGUUCACAUGAGGCAGCAGAACAUGUUCAACUGAAUGUGAAUUGAGCCCAAAAUGCAGACCCCUGUGGAAAAAAAUUCUCUUUAUCUCUGAGACUAAAAGGUUGUGGGCACUGAUACCACUUGAAAGGGGCUGAACAAACUCAAUCGCUCAAAUCUCCAUUUGUCACUCAAUGGAGGUACAAGACUGAAAAACUGUUGCUUCUAGGGGAAGCAUCUCAGAAGAUUUGUUCUAUCCUACUUGCAAGUUGUUCUUAUCUGUGCAGACCCAAUUCUUGUGAUCAUUUCCAUGACUAUAUAGAAUGUAAUUAUGUAGUUAUGUUCA